CACGCUUGUGCUCGCUACAGAAGGAAUUGGUCAAACUUGGGAAAAAUGUUGAUUAAAUAUCUCUGUAAAUUCCGGACAUUUUCUUACGAGUCCGUCGCUGUAAACGAUAAUUUUGGUCGCACCAAUUUGUAUUGUUUCUGCCGUAACAGCCGAUGUUGUUAUAAACGGUAUUAUAUCUAUCAAGGAUUUAGAAAUUUCGUCGUAAUAACCGUUAUGUCGUUGUUGUACCCAACUUCAUUAUAACCGAUAGGUAUGUACCAUUUGGUUUCAGAUUUCCAAAUCCUGAAGAAGGAAGGAGCUGUCUCGAUCUCUCGUUCAAAAAGGCAGAUAAAAUUGGAUCAAAAAUUAUAUUAGCCAAUGAUCCGGACGCAGACAGAUUAGCAGUAGCAGAGAAAAGCGAUAAAAAUGACACCUGGACAAUUUUCAAUGGAAACGAACUCGGAGCUCUUCUUGGUUGGUGGAUUUUGCAAUGCUACAGGCAAAGAUGUCCGAAGAGUGAUUUGAGUAACUGCUACAUGAUGUCGAGCACAGUGAGUUCGAAGAUCUUGAGAACAAUUUCCAAAAAGGAAGGUUUUAAUUUCGAAGAAACAUUAACUGGAUUUAAAUGGAUGGG